rnacentral:lncRNA from 1 species
AAGGCAAAUGCCUGUAAAGCCAAAAGAAGUGCUCUGAGUCUCUGCUUGGUUUCUUCAUCUGUCAGCACACCGUUGCUGUCAAACUUCGGUGGUGACUCAAAUGCAUACACGAAAAGCUCAGGCUUGUUAAUGAAAUGAAGAUCAAGGUAGACUCCUAUCUGUCGGAGGUGAUAUUGUGAUCGUCCUCCACCAAAGCCACCUCCAGCACUCACAAUUGCAGCUGCUUUAUUAGCCCAAACAUUUGGAGGUCGAGAUGCCCAAUCAAUUGCAUUUUUCAAGGGACCUGCCCAAGGAGAAGGAAAUCAUAGUCAUCAGUAUCAAGAAUAUAAUCACAAGAAAUAAAAAUCCAUCAACACUAAUCCACCAACCUAUGGCUACUCGCAUAUCCAAGGCCUAAUCAACAAAUGGGGUUUGGAUCCAAACUAGGUGAUCAAAAAUAAGAGCAGAUCAAUUUUACCAGCAAAAUAAAAUUGAACUACGGAGAUAAAUGGAAACUCAAGGAUAAUUAAAUUUGAGAGGGAACUUGAGUCUGAUAAUAACUUGAAAAAUCUUAUACUCAAGACAGAUUUUACUUAUCCGGACAUUACAUCAAUCGCCAAUCGCAAUGAAACUUGCUAAGACAACCAAUCAAUUGACCAAAUGUUUCGAAAGUCUUAUAAGAAGAUAAUUUUUUCCUAUGAAAAGGAAAUGUCGAAUGAGAACAAUUCACCAUCCACAAUGCAUGAAGAAAUGGACCACAUUCACUGGUGGAAGUUAAUCACACUUGCCGUUGAGUCUCAAGGCAAAUGCCUGUAAAGCCAAAAGAAGUGCUCUGAGUCUCUGCUUGGUUUCUUCAUCUGUCAGCACACCGUUGCUGUCAAACUUCGGUGGUGACUCAAAUGCAUACACGAAAAGCUCAGGCUUGUUAAUGAAAUGAAGAUCAAGGUAGACUCCUAUCUGUCGGAGGUGAUAUUGUGAUCGUCCUCCACCAAAGCCACCUCCAGCACUCACAAUUGCAGCUGCUUUAUUAGCCCAAACAUUUGGAGGUCGAGAUGCCCAAUCAAUUGCAUUUUUCAAGGGACCUGCCCAAGGAGAAGGAAAUCAUAGUCAUCAGUAUCAAGAAUAUAAUCACAAGAAAUAAAAAUCCAUCAACACUAAUCCACCAACCUAUGGCUACUCGCAUAUCCAAGGCCUAAUCAACAAAUGGGGUUUGGAUCCAAACUAGGUGAUCAAAUACUCCGAUUGCAUUAAGAUGCACAGGCUAUGAUCACCUCAAGUCUUGCAGUCACAUCCAUUAAAGUAACAGAUAAUAAGAGUCACAAUGGUACAGCGCAAACUUGUCAAAUCAAAUGAGCCAAGUUAAUCCACAAAAGCACAUAAGAGAAGAUAUACCAUCAAUUCUCCAGAGUUAGAGCUAAUUUUGAUUCGAGGAACCUAGCAACCUAUUCUAAUUUUUGCCUAAAUUUUGACUAACAGUAAGAUUUUUAGAAAGAAUAAUCAUUUUAAGGACUACUUUUAGUACUCACCAUCUAUAGUGAACUUUUUUACUGUUAAUAGCUGUUGAGUCCUCUAAGGACUACUUCAAUGAAGACAGUCUAGGCUGAGCAGUAAUGUUUCGGUUUUCAAUUUAAGCCAGAUGUAACUUAUAGCUUGGUGUUGAUUUAACCAAUAAACCGAUUGAUAAGUUGAUAACCACCAAAUCAACAGAUAUCUAAGCGGUUGGGCUAGCGGAUUAAUACAUUUGAAAACUAAUAAAUCAAACCUUUAAACACAAAUAUCAAACCGAUCCGCCCGAUAAGCAGCCCUAGAUUUUAGUGGAGCAUCAAUUAGAUAACAAAUGAAAAAGAGCCAGGAGGGGAAAAUGGAUACCAGUGACAGAGUAAUUGUACUCUGGAGAAGCAAAAAGGUAACAAUCAGCUUGUUCAAUUUUCUUACGAAAAGCCUCGACUUCAGGUGGAUAAGUUCCGUCCACCUCAAGAUCAGUAUUCAGAAACGGCAACGGCGAAAUGUCCACGUACUCAAUUUCCAUUCCCUUAAUAGAAUCCUUGCAUAUCUCCAUCGCUACGAUCAACAAUCACACAAACAUCAUUAGCAACUAACAAGCCAAAAAUAAAAAUUAAAAAAAAAAAAAAAAAAAAAAAAAAAAAAAAAAGAAAAAAGGAAAAUAAGUAUACCGGCAUUGAGAAGACCACGAUUGUAGGAACCUUUACGGAGGGAACCGCAGAUCCCGGCGAUUUUGAUAACUGGUUGAGCUGCCAUUGCCGCUGCUUGCAUUUUCCCUGUGUUUUUUCUUUUUUCAAGUUAGUUGUUUAUUUUCAGCACAAAUUUACACACUAAAAUUGGGAUAGCACUUGACCUGAUGAAUGAGCUGACGAAUCAGUUCCCGUCGUUUGAAUAUGUUUUCCCUUUUUUUUGGUAAAAAUAAAAUAUCAGCUACCCUUCCAAUUUGUUUGACUGAAAUAAAAAAGAAAAUUAUUUAAAAUAUUACUUUCUCUGUUUCAUUUUAUAUGUCAUAAUUUAAUUGAAUAAAAAUUUUAAAAAAUAAUAAAAAAUUUAAUAAUUUUUAUCAAACUAUUUUUUAUUAAAAAAUAUACUAUAAUUAUUUUUAAUUAAGUAAAAUCUUACAAAUGGAUAAAUAAAAGUAAAAAUAAAACUAUCAUUAAAUAAAUACAAGAAAAUGUAAUUUUUUUUUUUAAAACGAAAAAAAAAAAUAUGACCACACAAAAAUGAAACGAAAGGAGAGUCUAUCGGGGUGUUAGAUUGCUCAUGUUCCUAUCAAAUAUUCCUCCACGUUAGAUCCUAGAGCAGCUAGCCUAUUUAUAAACAUGAUGUUUAAAAAAAAGUUUAUCCAUUAAGUUAAAUUCUCCGUCAAAAAAGAUGGAUUGGACGCCUCUUCAUUACCAUUUUCUUCAUUUUCCUCAAGCUCCUAUCUUGAUUGAUGACAUAUGGCAUAAUUCAAAUUAAAUAGCUAAGAUUUAAUUAUUCUAAAAUAUAACUCUAAUUAUAAUUUAGAUAAUAAUUACACUAUAUAUUUAAUUUAAAAAAUUAUUGUAAUUCGACAAUCAUAGCAACAUGUCCAUAAAUAAGGCAACAAUUUUUUUUUUUCUUCCUACCUUUUUUUCCUACGCAAGAAUUUCAUCUUUUAAUUUCUUUAUCAAUUGAUUUUUUUUAUUAUCAAUUUUUUUUUUAACUUUUUGUUUAACAAUUAGCUAUUUUAUUUUCUUUAAAGUAGUGAAAUAAAAUAGGAGAAAUAAUCGGCUCUUUAGAUUAGUUUUUUAUCACCUUUUUUGAAACUUUUUCUUAAAAAUUAGAUAUUUAGUUUCUUUAAAAUAGGUGAAACAAAAUAGGGAGAGGAUGAGAGAAAUCUCUAAUAUUCUAAAUUAAUUUUUUUUUGAAACUUUUUCUUUAAUAAUUAUCUAUUUUAUUUUCUUUAAAAUAGGUGAAAUAAAAUAGGAGAAUUUGUAGACUCUCCUAUUUUUAAAUAAAAUAGUUAGUAAUUAUUAAAGAGAGAGUUUCCAAAAUGCAAUAAAAAAAUUAAUUUAAAUAGAAAUUAAAAGAUGGACCAUGCAUAUGAAAAAUAAUUUAGGAAGAAAAGAUUUUUUGUUGCUAAAUUUAUGGACAAUAUAAUAUGUUGCUAAAAUUUUGAAAUCACAAUAAUUUUUUAAACUAAAUGUAUAAUGUAUUUAUUAUCUAAAUCAUGGUUAGCGAUUUACUUUAGAGAAAUUAAACUUUACCCAUUCAAUUUGAACUAUAUCAUAUGUCACAAAUAAGGAUAGGAACUUGGGGGAAAUGAAGAGAGUGAAAAUGGAAAAGAGUCGAGUACAAAAAGGAUAUUGUGGUGGCUAUAAAUUCGCUUUCGCAAGUCUCUUAAACUAAUAUUUCCAGAUUCAAAUGUUAUAUUUUUUAAAUCUUAUAAUCUUAUAUUAAAAUUAUGUAAAAUAUAUCAAAAUACCUUUUUAAUCUUGAAAUUUUAAAUACAUAUUUCAAACUAAAAUAAUAUCAAGAAAAAGUCAUUUUCUAAAAAAAAAAAACAAAUUGAAGCAGAGGACGCAAUUUUUCUUUUUUCUCAUCAAUCAUUGUUUCUUUUUGGGUAGCUGUCAAUUUGCCAAAAAGUUUAAGUUGAAAAAGAGAUUCCCAAACAUUUUUAAUAUUUUAAACAAACUAUGAUAGUGUUUUAACAAAAUAGUGUUGUAGUGGAGCAUUUGAUAUAGAAUAAUUAAAAUAGUACAAAAUAAUGAUUAGUUUAAAUUUUUAAAAAGUGAUAAUCAAAUUUCGGAUUUAACCAAUGUAAAGGUUAUCUGUCAUCCGCCACUUUGUUUGUCCAAAGUCCACCAAAAAAGUCAAGGCUAUAGGCUGCUGCGUUCAUUAUUCUAUUAUAGUUGUAGUUUUCAAUUUUUCAUAUAUUGUUCGAGAUCUUUUCAAAAGGCACAAAUAAUCCCAUCGAUUGAGCUGUUAAUGGAAUAAGCGCUGCUUUCAAACCACUACGCCGAGCUUGGUGGGUGUUGACCAUUUUUUAACUGUUCAUACAGUAGCUUAGGGCUACUGUCCAUUUUUCUGAAGCAUGAACGACUUUUUUAUGUUUAGUGGUAUGUAUAAACGAUCAAAAUACAUACAUAUUUGUACAUAAGGGAUUAUUUUAGUUAGUUUCUCUUCAGUCAAGUUAUCGAGAAACUUUAAACCUUGAGAGAAGUCAAUGUUGUUCAAAGUAAAACGUUUGAUCAAAUGGCAUGCCAUUAAAGAAUAUGUCAUGACAGAUGUUAAAAAUAAAGUCCAAUCAGUUGACGAAUAUUGGCUUUCAACAAGUUUGUAAUCUGCUGUUUUUGGAACUAGAACUUAAUUUGUAAUAAAGACGAGAAAAUUAAGAAAAUAAAAAACAACAUGAUACUGAAUUAAAGAAAUAGUAAGAAUAAAGUCUAUGAUUAGAGGGCAGUCUCCUAGACAGUUGAUUAAAUGGUCGGUAUCAAUGGCCAAAAGGCUCACUUUCAGAUCAUAACAAAAUGAUGAGAUGAAUAACCAUUAGAAGGGAACCAACAUGUCAUGAACCACUGCAAGUUCUCCAAGAUCUGCAUUAUAGAUUUUGUAGGAGGUAAAGAGAAAUGGAGUAGGGGAGCAACAUUUAAGUAUUGCCUACAAAUAGCUUUUCUUUUCCCCCUUUCAAUUGAUGCUUUACUGGGAACAAACAGUUAGCAGGGACAGCUUAUGGAAACAUAACAUAACCAUUUGGUGCCUCAAUUCCUCCAACUAUAUUUAAAUUACUUACCUCAGCAAAUGUUCCCUCAUGCCUUAAAAGAUCCUCAUCUUAAUUCUCAAGAACCUGUUUUUUUCCCCAGUUUAAAGAGAACCUAUCGGGCGAUAUUUGCUGCAGUCAAAGAACGAUAAUUAAAAGGUGAUGGAACAACUGCAAUUGCAUGUCUCAAAGCGAAUUUUACUAGAAGUAAACUACUAGUAUUAAAUUGCUUAAGCUUCAGCAUAUUGUCCCUUAUUUGUUACAGAAUCCUCACAUAAAGUCUCUAAGAACCAAAUUUGUCUCGCUUAAAGAGAUUUACAUUUGAAAAGUGAAUAUUAAAGAGUGAAACUUUGUAAUUGCAUGUCUCAAAGGUAAGUUACUACAAGUAGCAAGUGAACCACACAAUAGAUAUUCCAUCUCAAAUUUAAAUGCAACGGCUAGAGGCAAGAUGGUUCGGCAUCAGGAUCAGCAAAGCUGGUUUAACAAGGUACAAGUGGUACAUCAACCAGACUUUCAGAAAUUAUCAUAGUAAAAAUUCAAAUAGAGAUAGCAGUAUACCUCAGAGCUGUCUUGUGCCACACCAUAUCUUCUGAAUAUUUUUGUCCUUGAUUUUUUAUUUGGCCUUUAGCUUAUCCCAGCUUCUUAAUACUGCUGUAGUAAACUUUGACCAGACUGGGUUUGCGUUUCACUGAAAGAAUGCAGAUAUAGUAACCUGCGAGCAACAGCCACAGCAGAGACAAAAUCAGUAUAUACUGAAUAAUAGGAAUUGGCAUAUUUAGUGAUACUAUUCAAAUGGCCGCCUUAGCUUUCAAUGACAUCAUUCGAAGUCAGGGGGCAUCAAGCUUUGGUUGCAUUAAGGAAACGGGAUCCUAUAUGGAGGGGCCGAUUUGAGUACACCAAAGAGCAAUCCCACGUGUGAAAGAUUGCUUGGAGCAUUGAAGAUUGAGGACUCACGGUUUUGGGCCUUCAUUAAGGACAUUUUGGUUACUUAACCUUGUCCAAGUAACACUCCAUGACCACCCCUUUUCAUUAAGGGUAUUAUGGAUAUUUUGUUAUGUAAUAAGUUAGACUAUAAAUAGGUUCUAUUAGUUCAUUUGCUAGUUAGUUUAUGAAAGAUUGAAACACUUGAAAUCCUCUCUCUUGAGAGUAGACCACCUUAGUAUAGUCUUAGUUAGGACUUGGAAAAGUCAUCCUUAGUAUAGGGCUUGGAAAAGGCAAUAUUGUUCUUUGCUUGGAAACGGUGGAUCUUGAGGCUAGUCGAUUACCUUGGCGGUCACCGCAAACAGGUGGUUUUGAUUAUUACACUCAUUAGGGGUUAAUGUUGAAAUAUACUUGGUUCUUAAUCUUGUAAUAAUCUCGGUCUCACUAUCUAUCCUUUCAUUAUUUUGCAAAUCCGUGUGUUUUUGUGUUUGUCAUCUUGUAUCCCUUUGUGUUGCUUGUUCUUCUCACGUUUUGUGGACUGUUUUGGCAUCUUGGUGGACUGAUUUGUAUCAUUUAGGCAAUAACAACAUUAAGAAUUUUAACUAGAUCAUGGUUUAGGAGAAGUAAUAGGAAUGGCAUCAAUACCCCUUUGCCCUUGAGAAACAUUUGGAUGCUGGAAACGGGAUCUUUAAAUAAACAGAAGCCAGUGGUUGAAAAUGAAUAGUUGUGAUAGCUAACAGGUCCACGUGAAAGAAGAGUCAUAUUUCCUCACCAAAAUGAAAAGCAUUAAAUCAAGGCACAGAAAGAUCACCUGUGCACCGCAGAGGUGGAUAUGGAUCUAUCUGCUUCUCGUAACAUCAACUUCUCUGAAACUUCAGCCAACAAAGAAUGUAUAAUAGUGCCUAACAUCUCAUGGUCGUGUUUCUACCUUUAAGAUAGUGAUAUCUGGAAAAGUAAAAUUUCUCCCUCGCUUUUCUCUUUUCCAGAAAUUUCAUCAGAACAGAUUUGCACCAGAGAUCAUAUUUAAUUGUUAAAUUAGAUAGGUUUGUACAUGGUUACAACCUCUUUCAAUGAUGUCAAGAAAAUGCAUCAUCUUCGAGAAAGUAUGAGCUUUCAAUAUGAAGUACAUAUCCAGUAUCCUUUAUUGGAUCUAUGAGUUUAAGUAGCAACUCUUUUAUUUCUUCUGACUGACUGUGAGACUUAUCCUUAGCAACAAACUUAUGUUUGAUAUUUUUUAUCUCAAUCCAACUAUAAGCUGUUUCUUUCAUCAAUCCUCUGUUAUCCAUGUACCUUCGCAGUCUGCGAGCAUCAUCCCACCUUCCUGCUGCUGCAUAAACGUUGGAUAACAUAAUAUACCUGGCAGCAUUAUCAGGUUCCAGCUCAAAUAGAGUUUCUGCUGCUCUUUUAGCAAGUUCCAAGUUCCCAUGUACCCUGCAAGCACCCAAAAGUGCACCCCACAUUCCAAUAUGGUUUGUUCCCCAAGGAGCUCCCUUGAUUAAUUCUGCAGCUUCUCGAAGCCUAUUCUUCCGUCCAAGUAAAUCAAUCAAAAUCCCAUAGUGAUCUAAUUGGGGCACUAUAUUGUAUUCCCUCUCCAUUGAAUGAAGAUAGUGGAAUCCUUCAGAUAAUAAACCACAGUGGCUACAAGCAGAUAAAACCCCAAGAAAAGUUACAUGAUUUGGUUUUGUACCGGCUUCAAUCAUUCUGUCAAACAUGCAUACUGUCAUCUCUCCGUGCCCAUUUUGAGCGAACCCAAUUAUUAUCGAGUUCCAAGUAACUCGAUCCUUCCCAUCUAAUCUCUCAAACAAUGUAAUAGCGGAUAUCAUGUCUCCACAUUUACAAUACAUGUCAAUUAAAGCAUUAACUACAAACACAUUAUGCAAAUCAAUAAAACAUGUAUAUCUAAAAAUGUGUCCAUGAACCUGCUUCCCCUUUUCUAUAAGUGGUAUGUCUGCACAAGCACCUAGAACACUAACGUAAGUGGAUGCAUUGGGUACAAUACCUUCUUCCAGCAUUUCCUUAAAGACACACAAAGCCUUAUCUCCUUCUCCUUUCUGAGCAAAUCCCGUGAUCAAAGCAGUCCAAGCCACCACAUUUCUGACUGGCAUGCUAUCAAAAAGUGAGCACGCAUCCGCCAAUCUAGAUGCACGUAUAUAAGCAACCAACAUCGAAGUCCAGGAAACUACAUCUGUCUCAUGCAUUCGGCACAAAAUUGAAUACGAGUACUCCGGUUUCCCACAUUUCCCAUAAGCAUCAAUUAGCGCAUUACAAACAACAAGAUUAAACCUCACACCAACCACAAUCGCUAACCCAUGCAAUUCACGCAACAACUUUAACACCCCCAAACACGCGCAAGCAUUUGCCACACCAACAACCGUAAACUCAUCAAUCAAGAACUCAUCCCCAUAUCUCUUUCCCAUUCUUUUGAAAAAACCCAUCGCUUUUCCUGGAAACCCACAACGAGUCAAGCUCGAUACAAUCGAGUUAAAACUCACAACAUUUGGUUCAGGCAUUUCAUCAAACACCUUGAAGGCUUCUCCAAAAAGGCCCCUUUGACAAUAACCCGAUAAUAUCGUAUUCCAAGAUUGACAAUUCUUGUUCGACACUUCAUUAAAUGCCCGUUGCGCAUAUUCUAGAGAGCUGCAUUUAGAAUACAUGUCAACCAGUCGAUUAGCGAGUAAUGUGUUAAUGUGUAGUGCCGUCUUGAUCAAUCGCGAGUGUAUGAGUUUCCCGAGUUUGAGAUCAUUAGUUCGAAUGCAUUUCGAAAGGAGAUUCGCGAAUUUCUGAAUAAGGUCAGAAGAUAUUGCUUCACUUGGUUGCAUUACAGCAAAAAGCAAAACUUUUAGUAGAAUAAACUCGAGUUGGUUAACAAAUUAAGAAAGGGAUUGGAGAGAUUUUGUUGGAAACUCAAGAUUGACUAUCAAUUAAGCAAUAUAAUGAAUGAUGUUAACAAAGGUGAAACUCUGCUGUUAAUAUUUGAUCAAGCUUAAUUCGUGCGUGAAAUGAGUUUUUGAGGUCGUUGAUAUGAUGAACCAAUUGAAUAUAGGCCGUUAGAUUGUCCAUGUUCCCAUAUAUUGCACUCUUACCGCCCGUUUGAGAUUACCCAUGGAAAACUGAUUAUUUGAUUAUUUGCGAAGUACUUUUUAAAAACAUUUUUUUUUAGAAAAGUGCUUUUGAAAAAAAAUAAAUUAUACUUAAUAAAUUUAUUUAAAAAUUAUUUUUAAUAUAUAUGAUUAAUCUUUUUCAAGAAGUAUUUUUGAAAGACAAACGAUAAAAAAAGACAUAUAUUUAUGUAUUUUGAUAGCUAAAAUCAAUUUAUAAAGAGAAAUGAUUUUAAAUAUUUAUUAUAAUAUUUUUAAUUAAAAACCUUUUUAUUUCAUUAAAAGUACCUACUACAAAAAUUUCAAUCAAUAUUAUGAAAUUUUCAUCAUCAUCAAUCAUAUUUUUUAUUUUAUUUGAAGAAAAGAAGUGAGGAAUAAAAUAAAAAUAUAUAAAUUAUAAAAUAAAAGAGAAAAUGAUCAAAAGCCCCCAACCUUUAUCCAAAUUUCAACUACACAUCUAUACUUUGCGGGAGUACUAUGACACCCCUAAACUAUUUUAAAGUGGAAUUAUUACCCUCAAAAAUUGACAUGGUGAGAGUGUGUGUUAAAGAGAGUGAAACGUAAAUUAUUUAUUAAAAAUUUAUUUUUAAUAUUUCUUUAUUUUCUCUAUUCACUCUUAAUUAUUCUUUUUCUUUAUUCAUUUUCUUUCUUCUUCUUCUUUCUCACAAACAAAAAAACUUCAAGAAUUCAUCAAUGGCAUCCAAGAUUAAGUUAUCAUCUUCCUCAUCUCCAAGCACAAAAUUGAUUGGUUCCGACUUCAAAUCGUCGGAAAAUUCAAAAUGGGUAUUGUUCCUUAUUUUCAACUUCAAGGUCGUCGGAAAUUUCAAAAUCAAUAGUAGCCAUUUAUUUCCAGCUUCAAGGUCGUUAUAAUUUUAAAAUGAGUAUUGCCCAUUGUUUCCGACUUCAAGGUCGUCGAAAAUUUCAAAACUCUCUAUUGCUUUUGACUUUAAGGUCAUCGAAAAUUUUAAAUUUGGUAUUGUUCAUUGUUUCCGGCUUCAAGGUCGUCAAAAAUUUUGAAAUUGAUAUUGUUCGUUGUUUUCGGAUUUAAGAUCGUCGGAAAUUUAAUAAUUGAUAUUGUUCAUUGUUUCCCACUUCAAGGUUGUCGAAAAAUUUAAAUUUGAUGUCGUUUAUUAUUUCUGACUUCAAGAUCGUCGGAAUUUUCAAGAUCGAUAUUGUCUAUUAUUUUCGACUUCAAGAUCGUCGUAAAUUUUAAAAUGACUACUGCCCAUUGUUUUCGAAUUUAAGGUCGGGGAAAAUUUUAAAAUUUCUCUAUUGUUUCCGACUUUAAGGUCAUCGAAAAUUUUAAAUUCGAUAUUGUUGUUUCCGGCUUCAAGGUCGUCGAAAAUUUUAAAAUUGAUAUUGUUUGUUGUUUUCGGAUUUAAGAUCGUCUGAAAUUUAAUAAUGAUAUUGUUCAUUGUUUCCCACUUCAAGGUUGUCGAAAAUUUCAAAUUCGAUAUUGUUUAUUAUUUCCGACUACAAAAUCAUUGAAAGUUUCGAAUUCGGUAUUGUCCAUUAUUUUCCACUUCAAGUUCAUCGAAAAAUUGUUUAAGUUUGAAAAGGAAAAGAGAUGAAAAGUAAUGGUGAAAAAAAUGAUGAAAGGUGAUAAAAAGUGAUAAAAAUGGAGAAUAAAGUAAAUAAAAAUUAAUUUUAAAUUAAAAAACACGUGUAAAAAAGCUGUUGGCGCGUGCAUCACACCACAUUCCAAAUGACUGGUUGACAGUUUUCGAGGGUAAUAAUUCCACUUUAAAAUAAUUCAGGGGGUCAUAGGACCCCGCAAAGUAUAAGUAUGUAGUUGGGAUUUGGGGUAAAGGUUGAGGGACUUUUGGCCAUUUUCUCUAAAAUGAAAUAAAAAAUUGUGUGUGUAUAAGUGAUAGGAAUAUUACUAUCAUGAAAAAAAAUAAUUCUAUAUUUCAUGUUUCUGCUUUUAUAUAUAUAUAUAUUCUGUUUGUUUCCAACAACAGAAAAACUGUUUUUGCAUUUUUUUUAAAAGGAAAAUUAACCAAACACCAUUUUUUUUUUCAAAAAUAUUUUUUUCUGAGAAAAAAAUAAUCUCAAAAAGGUAUUUAGCUUGAGUAGACAAGAAGUAUAAAAAAAAUUAAAAGACCUUUUAAAUUUAUAAUAUUAAACUGAAGAUUUAUGUAAGUGCUAAAAUAUUUUAAAAUUUUAUUGUUUAACUUUUAAAUAUGUCUAGUAAGAUGUUGGGGGUAAAGAGAUUUGGUAAGUGACCAUUUUCACUAACUUUGAUAGAGCCUUUCGUAAUUUUGUGGCAUGAUUUGGAUGCCACAAACGUAUCUAUAGUUAAUGAUUUGUGGGUACUUGCUCCAACAAUUAGAUAAUACUACAAUGGUUUCUCAAAUUUAUAGAGUACAAAUUAAAUUAACUAGCUGAUAGGCUAGCAACUUUGAAAAAUAUGACAAGAGGACCACUGUUUUUUAGGAUUCUCCAACACAUAUAUCGAAUGUUUUGAAUGAUAAUUUUUUUUUUUUUGUUUUGGUGACCGCUAUAAUGCCUGACAUAAUGUAAUCUGGACCAUAAGAGCAUUUGGGCCAAUGUCGUUGGGCCGACACUCACACUGAAGUAAACCCAUAUUCAUUGUGGGAUGUGCAAAUUCAGGGCCCAAUUCCAUUUUGCACCAAGAUUUGCUCUUUCUUUUUCGGGAAAUAUAAUAGGGAAAAUUAACUAUAUAAACUUAUUAGAUUAAUUAUUACAAGUUAUAGCAAAACUUUUAAAUUUUUAAGUUAUAGUAAUUUUCAUUUAAAAAAAACAUAAAAAAAGUUUUUUUGUUUUGUUGAAAAUUCAAAAAAGUAAUUAAUGAAAAACGAAAAUUAAGAUUUAAUACAAUUAAUAUACAAUUUACCUUCCUUAAAUAUAGUUAAAAUUAAUUACUAAUAUUUAUCCACCUCAAAUUGCUCUAACCGUUUUUCUUUUCUCCUAUUUUAAUGCUUCCAUUAAGAGUUUUCACCUUCAUACACUACUUCUUUAGACGUAUUAUUUUACACAAAUCAAAACAAAAGAGGCAUUGCUAUGCUUUGUUGUUUUCCUCUUUCCAACGUCCAAAUAAUUUCUGUAUAUUUUCUCUUCCAAUUAGGUGUAUAGCACACAAUAUUUGAGAUUGUCUAUUAUAAAAUCAGUUAGAUCCUAUAAUCACUAUUGAAUGCUGACUAAGCUUGUAAAAAACAUAUAUAUAACAAUAUAUAUACAUAAGAUACAGAUAAUAUGUACGUGGACGAAUGUGAUAUAUGCUUUAACAAAUUAAAUGGAUCUAUAAAUUAAUAAUAUUAAAAGAAGAUGGAAACAACCGAUAAUAUGUAGUAUUUAAUUUGUAAUUUUAUUAGCAUAAUAUGUUAGGAAAAAAAUAAUUAAAUUUCAGUUUUGUUCUAGUGUUGUCCAUCCUAUGCUUAUACUAUAACAUAUAUUGGAUAAAAAACAUAAAAAGAAGAAUAAAAUAGAGAUCUGAAUAAAUGUAGCUGAGUCAUCUUGUUCUUCUUUGUCACUUAUACUUCUCUUUUUGUUCUUUAAAAAAAAAAUGCUUUCAGAGGUCAUCCUCAAAGUCACUAAUUGCCAAUUAGUGUAAUGAUGUUAACUACGUUUUAAUGAACACAUUUUCCUAGGAUAAUCCUACUUUUAAUACAUAAGUUGAAAUUAAUUUAUAUACUUAUUUCAUACUUAAGCAAUACUUUUAUUUUGAGUUCUCAAUGUAUUAAUUUGAUAUUAAAAUUGAUAUCAAUGAAGUUUCGCAUAUACAACAUUUGUAUUGAAUGAAUUUUAUGAAUGUGACAAUCGAUGAGAAAAAUUAUAUUUUAUGUUACAUAACUUUUUUAGUGUAUGUAAUGGAUAUUACAUGAAAAACAAUCAACGUAAAUGUUGAAAAUAAAUUAAUUGAUAGUUGUUUGAUGUCAAAUAAUUUUUCGUUGCAAUGAAAAAAUAAUCAGUAUUAAUCAUGAUUGAUAUUGGCGUUUGCUUUCUGGUAGAAGAAGAUGAAGAACAUUAUAUAAAUACUAUGUUAAAUAUCAAAACUAAACUUUGUUCAUACCAACAAUCUUAUACAGUGAGUAACGAGCACCAAUAUAAAAUCAAGAUAUAAUACUCAUGUCAAAUGUUACUAAUUGUAGAAUCAAAAAAUGUAUAAUUUGAUGCAGUUGAUAUCAAAUUUAAUACCCAUCUAAUGCGACUUAUUUCAUAUCAAUUUCAUUCAACGAUAUAAAAUACAAAAUAAACGUUAAAGUAACAUAACAUUAUAUAAAUACUAUAUAAAUACAAAAAAUAAACUUUGUUCAUACCAACAAUAUUAGAAAAAUAAACAACAAUGAUCAAGCACCAAAAAAUUAAUUCAAAUUAUUAACUAUAUUAGAAAAACAAACAGUAAUAAAAAAAUGAUUCAAUAUUAAUUUUGUACUAAUUUAAUACAAAAAAAAUAUUUGCAAGUUUGUAUGUACUGUUAUAGUUCAAGAAUACAACUUUGUUACUACCACACCAUGUACAUGCUUACUAGAAAAAAUAAAAAGAAAUAAAGAUCGGGGAUGACAGACAUGAUCACUAAGUGAGAAAAUAACAUAUAAAUGACCAAUCAUUCAGUAACAAGUACUAAGAAUUCAUUGAUAUGCAUGUUGAAAUGUGAAUUUAUCAAAAGAAGGUCACUUUUUCAACGAAGAAGAUGAAUAUUAACUAUGAAAUCCCCUUUUUUCAACGAAGAAGAUGAAUAUAAUACCCAUUUUUUUUUUAAUCUGUAUUUUCAAGGGAAGAAUAUGUAUAUUAUAUGGAGACACAAAUUUUAAUAAAGUUUUGAAAUAUUGAGUAUUAUAAUGGAGAAAGAGAGAGGUGAGGUUGAAUAUUAGAGAAUUUGAAUGGAGAGAGAGAGGUGAUUCAGAUACUUUUUUGGAACAUUAAUUUGAUUUACACGUAAUCUUCUUUCAAUAAAGUUAACUGAUAAAAAUGUGUAAGCUUUUAAAUAAAAAAAUAACAUAUAUUUACCAUGAUUAUCAAUACACAAUUUAAGAAAAAUAUUGAUUACAAUCCUAUAAAUAUGAAACUGAUUUUAAAUUAUAUAAUUCAAAACGAAUUUUAAAAAUAUAAUUAAAAUAAUAUAUCUUUCAAUAAGUUGCUAUAACUUGUAACUAAAUUGCUAUUAAUGCAAUUAUCUAAAAGUGUUGCUAAAAUUUGUUAUUUUAGAUCUAAUAAUACCAUAGGGGAUAAUUUUCUCAGUAUAAUAUAAUACUACUCUCUAUCUCAAGUUAAUUAUCGUGAUUUUCUAAAAACAAAUGUCUCAAAUUAUGUGCCAAUAUAGACGUUCAUGAUAAAAUUAAUUGAAUUUUUCUAUUUUAUUCUUAGUAAUAAUUGUUUGUGAAGUCUAAUUGUAUAAUUUCUUUCAAAUGUAAGCCCAUAUAGUUCAAACACGGAGUUGCCAAGUUUCAAGGGCAAAUUAAUUAAGGGUGACAAAAAAAGUUUCAAAACUAAGAAAGAGUGACACAAGUUUUAAAUAUUGAGUAGAGGUGACAAUUUUAAGAUUAGUAUUAAUGACAUUAAUUUUAAAACUCUCAAGUUUUAUUAUUUUACACAAAGAUCCCUAAAGAUCCCUACACCAUCACCACCACUCCUCCACCACACCCUUUUUGCUGUCGCCGCCGCUGCCACCUCCUCUUCCUCCACUAUCACUAUCACUACCAUAGUCACCUCUUCUAGAUUCACCAUUAUUUCCUCCCUCUAUAUAACUAUUGUCUAUUUUUCUUCUUUCUUCUACAUCACCGUCGCUAUCAACACUGGAACAAAUAUCAUCUUCUCAUUCGACGUCACUAGUACCACCACCACCUCCCUUUUUACCAUAAAUAUCACUUUUUUGUGGGUUCCUCCUCCAACCACAUCUUUUUUCAGAAAUUAAGUAUCGAAGUUGCUGCAGCAACUUCGACUGUUGCUGCAACAACUUCGAUAGUUGCUACAGCAACUAUCGUUGCUGUAACACAGCAACUAAUAGUAGUUGUUGCAGCAAUUUCUAUAACUAUUGUAGCGAAUUAUGGUAGUUCCUAAAGCAACUCUCGGAGUUGCUGAAUUUGUUGAAUUAUUUCUUCAUUUAUUUAUAAAAGAAAUCAAAAAAUUUCUUUUUAAAUUUCUCAAUUUUUUUUAAAAAUAGUCCAUAAAGAUUAAAAAAGGAAAAAGAACGAAAUAAAAAGAGAGAAUAAAAAGAAGAGAAAUGGAAGAAGAGGAAACUCUAGAGAGAGAGAAAAAACUAAGAAGAAGAAGAAGAAGAUAGGGAGAAAGAAAUUUGGAGAGGAAAAAAAAGAAAAUUGAAUGGCAACUUCAUUAGACUGUUCUUCAUGUUACCAAAUUGCAUAACAAAACAAACAACAACAACACCUACACAUAUAAUCAUACAACAAAGGAAUUUUCAGUAAAGUUACAUGCUCUUUCCUUCUUCUUUCCAUCUUCUUUCUCUUGUCUUUCAAACCGCACUUGACAUUUUCUUUCAAAUUACCCAUCACAUUCUCAUCUACUUCAUUCUUCAUAUCUGAACAACUUGUCUUGAUGUUGAGACUUUGAAAUUUAAUCUGCAUAUUUUCAAAGUCAUUUUCUUAUUUUGACUCCUAAUCGUCUAAAUUCAUGUUGUUGGGAUUAUGACGUUGAGUCUUCAAGCUUUCAAGCUUAUUCAAUUGCAUCUUAACACUCUCAUAAUUCUUUUCUAGCUCAUUAAUCUUGUUCACCAAUCUUGAAAGAACAAAUUUUGAUCUUUCGUCAACUCGUUCCAAGUCUUUCCAUCUAAAAUAAUUGUAAUUUAUAGUCCGAAAAUUAAGAACAUAAAUUAUAGAUCUUUACACCGACAUCAACAUUAUUCAAUUAACCAAGAAUUAACACAAACCUCAUAAUGAGGACACACCCAAAAUCUUCUACCGGGAUUGCGAUCUGUCCAAGACGUCUGCAUUUGCAAUAAAAUGUCAUGUUUACUUUCAGCAUUGAUCUUUGGAUCAGUCUCAUCCAUACACAACUUAUUCAACUCGUAUUUCCUCAUUUCUACCCUUAAAUUUUUAUCAAAAGAAAACAAGAAAACUUCAUUAAUGGAAAUGAAAAACUUCAUUAAUGGUGCUGAAAAACUUCACAUUUUGGAUUAAUUAUAAUGGAGAAAUCGAAUUUUCAUUAACAGAUCUAAAAUUAGAACUUUAAUAACGACAUUACAUGGAUUAAAUAUAAGAAAUUUACACAAAAAUUACCUUUGUCUUUCCAAAUCAAAGAGAAAUUUGAAGAAUAAGGAAAUUUUGAAGAAGAAUUUACAGAGGAAAAGAGAGUCGUAGAGCUUCUAAUUUUUCUUCAAUGGAGGAUGAACAAAAUAAGGUUUAAAUAAAGAUUUUAUUUUUUUAAUUUGUUUUGGACACGUGACAAUUUUUUAUUGGAUAAGGAGACAUAAAAAAAGACUUCAUGCGCCAUCAACAUUUUCAUACAUGCCUUGUGCCAUGGAGACGCAAUGUAGGCAGUCAAGGGUGUCAAUAUUACACUUUUAUUUAGUUCAGGGAGGUAAUAGGACCCCCUUUAAGUUGAAGUGUGUCACAACCUUUUUGUAUAUAGUUCAGGAGGUAAUAAGGUAUUUCUCAAAAAUUAAUAAUAUUUAAUAUAAAAUUUACUUGACUUUUUGUAUUAGACUCAUUUAAUUUUUUUCCGCAAGUAUUUUGUAUAGUAAUUUUGUUGUAUCACUUUUAAUUAGACAUGCCUUUUCAUUGUUUCAAUCGUGAUUUUACUAUGUCACUCCUAAUUAAUUAUUAUGACCAUUUAAGCAUUGUAUCAAUUAAUAAUAUUUGAUAAAAAGGUAAAAUAAAUAUAAAAUAAUAAGUUAAUCAAAAAAAUUUCACAAGUAUUUUUUAUAUUAAUUUUGUUAUAUCACUUCUAAUUAAUUGUUGUGAGUCAGUAAGGCAUAUCUGCUUCACUCGUAACUUUACCAUAUCACCAAUAAUUAAUUAUUAUGUUCAUCUAAGUAUUAUGACACUUAAAUUGGAAUAGAAGAAAAAAGAUUAUACAUCGCAAUAAUUUAAAACUUAAAUUAUUUAAAAAAUGUAAUUGAUUAUCAAUGCCACAAAAAUUUGAAUAAUGAGAGCGAUAUAUAUUAUUUGAAAAAUAUAUAAAAAAUAUUAUAAAUUAUAAUAAUUAACAAUUUAAAAUAUUUAUAAAAAUUUUGUUAUAUAUUUUUUAAACAUAUUAUAAAUUACAAUAAUUAAAAUAAUUUUUUUUAAAAUAUUUAUUGGGGCACGGGCUAUUAAUAACUAGUAGUCUCAUGAAAGGGGGCCUUGAACAUAAGUAGCCAAUUACAUCAAGAAGGAGCCCUUAGACAGAGAUUGGAAGUACCUUUUUGGCAAAUGCAUAGACAAUUCAUACUUGUUGACUUUGGUUUAAUUGGGGUCCGUUAAUCUAGUGGGUCCAUCCUUAGUCAUGUUUGAGAAUGCACUAAGAGAAGAGGGGUUGUUUGGAUGAUAAAUAUUGUCACAUUUAAUUUUAACAUUGUAAGUUUAAGUUAUCAUUGAAUCAAAAGGGUGAAAGCUUUUUAAGGAGGGGUAAAAAGAGUCAGUGUAAUAAUCCUAUAAAGUAAAAUUUAGAAAGGGUAAAGACUUUACUUUUAUUUUAAAAGUAGAAAGGGUUGUUUUUGAUAUAUCCUAUAAAACCUAUUUGGCCACAAAUAUUAGUAUUCAUUUUUAUUCAAAAUAAUUUUUUACUUUAUUUUUAGAUCAGUAUUGAAUAUGAAAAUAUCAAAUUUAAUUUGAAAUUAUAUUUUAGAUUUGGAAAACAGCUUAUCUGUUUUUCAACUCACUUUUUCACUUUUAAAGUUGCAUUUAAGUAUAUUCAAGUAUGAACAUUAUUCUAAAUACUUUUUGCAAGAAUAUAACCAAACACGACUUCCUUACGAUAAAUGAAAAAUAUUUAGAAUCUAUGGUCAAAUGCCUAUAGAUUUUUGUAAGGGCAGAGCUAGAAGUCAAUGCAGAAUUUGUGGUCGGAUCUAGUAGCUUUAGUUCAAAUUCUUUAUUUAUCUUUAUUUAUAUUUAAGAAUGGAAUUUUUGGCCCUUCUGCGAUAGUCUAUGGGCAAUUUUUUUUAGCCUUUUUCCAUUAAAGAUAUAUAAAAAUGAAAUCAGGACCUAAUUAUUAACACUUGAUUUUAUUGCUCUAGAAUUUAAAACCUACAAAAUUUGAAUUUUUAUUUCGCCUCUAAUUAUACUGCUCGAUUAAUGGUGGAGUUAGAAAUUUGGCUAAGGAUGUGUAUAAAUUUUCUUUUUCUUAAGAGCGUGCAAAAUUAAAUAUACACUCAUAAAUAUUAACGUUUAGCUUCUAUACACCACAUAAUUUUUCAACAAAAAGUGUGCAUCAAACCAUCCUUCGGCUAACGUCGCUACGCGGUGUGCUCGAUACACUUCAAGUUGAAUAGUAACCAAUUGUCCAAUAUGUUGCUUAACCAAGUUGAAAAGUUGCCUAAAAUAAACAUCCGAUGCGACUUUCUCUACUUGUUGACUCAUAUAUAUAUGUACAUACACUUACUGGGUAGGUAAUUGUCAUAAUCCAAAAUAGGAUCAUGACCGGCGCUAAGGAGUUUAGGAGUCCAAAGUAAGCCUCGUCAGAUUUCUAUAAAAAAUCGGACAGAAUUUUCCCUGUUUUUGGGCCUAACAAGAAAAUUUCUUGUCUCAAUUCAACAACAAAACAACCCAAUAGCACAAACACCAACACAAUUCACCAAUACCACCAACUAACAAUACUAAAUCCAUCUCCAAAAAUAAGAGGAAGUCAAAUACUUCACAAAUUCAAAAUAAUGAAAGAAUGCUCAAGCUCUAAAGACAUGACUAUGGAGCAAACUAAGAGAUUUCAAGAAAAAGAAACAUAACUAAUAAAUAAACUAUAGCCCACGCGAAUAAUUGCGGAGCUCACCAGGAAUAUGCUACUCAGAUCCUCUAGUCAACGUGAUCCUCACCGUCACCUGUGUUCUCUGAAAAAUAAUAGUGAGGAGUGAGACGCUAGCUCAGUGAGUAAUAACACUUAACCACAACCGUUUAAAUUGGGACAAGUCAUAAAACAUCAUGAAAUAAUGCUCUUUUAGGAAACAGUAACGAUAAACAAUAUCAUUGUUUCAUGUAAGCCAAGUGAACCAACAGUUCAGUAAUAAACUCAAAAAGUAUCGUAUCGUAUCAUAUCAAAUAUUACAUGUUUGGGAGGUUUCCAGAAAUGAAUCAUGUAAUUAGUGUGACAUUCUUCUUCAUCAAGAAUAGCCCAUAACAGUGGACCCCUCACAAAGGAGUCAAAUAUCAUAUCAGUAACAGUAUGCUAGUUCUAUCUUUACACUAGCGAGGACUGUAAUAGUCAUCAGUAAAUACAAGGUGCACCAGGUCUAACGAUCCCUCCGUUAGCUCUCUACUCCCAUUUAUACUUUGUAAACAAUAGGAUAUUCAUAUGAAAGCAUUUGUCAGAAUAGUACAUAUCAUUUAAAGUUCAUAUCAAAUCAUAUUACAUAUAAAUCGUGAAUAAAAAUAAAUGUCAAAAUACAUGUUUCUCAUGUAAGUGAAGAAUAUUCACAGUAAUAAUAUCAUAUCUCAAAUAACAAUUUCAACAUCAUAUCAAGUAAAGGUCUUGUCCCACAUGCAAUUUCAAAACAGUUCAUAACUCAUUGUUUCAUCAAAAUCAAGUAUAAAAUAUGCAAGUUAACAAACAUAAAUUAUGGUAAGAUUACUACUCAUAGUACAAUUUCCGAAAUACCAAACUUGUCACUUCGAACAAUUGAUAGGACUCCCUUCGAUCGAAUCUAAAAUCAUAUCAUAUCAUUCUCGAGUUAAUUUUCUUAUUUUAGGCUAAAUUAUAAUAAAAUUAGACUACCCAACCCUCAAGGUUUCAAGAUAUUUUCAAUUCAUUGAACUAGUAUCCAAAAUAAUUCUUAUUGUCCAUAAUUCUUGCCUUUAACAACUAAAUAGCAAUAUCCAAAAUAAUUUUACCUAGACUAGAAAUCAUGAUAAGGAUGUAAAAAAAAAGGAUUUACCUUAAACCCGAUAUAAAUCUCCAAACAAACCCACUUUUUCUUCGUCCUUGAUUUUAUUUUUCUCCAAUUAACAAGCUGACCUUUUUUUGGGAGUUACAGAUGCAACUGAUGUUGCAUUCUCGGACCCUAAUCCUUAAAUAAUUUUUUUUCCUUGUUUGUGCUUGCUGAAAGAAGCAGCACACAUAAUUCCUUUUCCCCAUUUUAUGUGGUUUAAGCAGUGGCGGAUCCAGAAUUUAAGGAUAGUGGGUGCUUAAAAAAUUUUUAAACUGAAAAAAAAUAAAAAUAACUUCAAUGAGGUUCAAACCUAGGACCUCUUUCCAAUGAAGCGCCUUAAAAUCAACUUAAAUGCCAAUGCACCCAACUAACUUUUGUUCUAGUGGGUGCUUUUAUAUGUUUUAUACCUAUUUUCAUAUAUUUUCUAUGUAAUUAUACCUAUUCCGCGUCAAGUUUAGUGGAUAACGAAGCACCCCAAAAUACAAGGUAGGUCCGCUCUUGAGGUUAAACGCAUAUGGGUAAAAACCUAAUCCUUUUCCUUCUUUUUAAUUGAAAGAUGGGGGUGACCCACUUUUUUUUCUUUUCUUUUAAGGACUAGAACUAAGAUGAUAUGGGAUAUUACAAGACAGUGGCGGACCCAAAUUUUAAAGAUAGUGGGUGUUUAAAAAAUUUAAAAAAUGAAAAAAGUAAACAAUCACCUAAAUGAGAUUUGAACUCGGGGCCUCCUUCCUAUGAAGGACCUUAAAUCAACCUAAAUGUCAAUGCACCUAACAAAUUUUUUGUUAUAGUAGGUGCUUUUAUAUGUUUUAUACCUAUUUUCAUAUAUUUUCUAUGUAAUUAUACCUAUUCCGCGUUGAGUUGAGCGGGUGUCGGAGCACCUCAAAAUCCUACAAAAGUCUGCCCCUGGUACCUUGUAAAAAAAUAGGCGGCCGCCUUAGUCCUCCACACACAUGGCCCUUCUUGUCCACAUACAUCAUUUCUAUAUAUUAGAAGUGAAGGUUUCAACAUGUCACUUUUUUGUCUUUAAAUUCAAUAUUGAGGGUAUUAAUGUCUUUAAAAUAAGUUCUAAGCUUAAAUUAAUAAUUUUUUGUUCUUUGUUUUUUGAACCUCAUUAAAAGUUUUAAUAAAAUCCCAUUUUUACUCUUUAAUUACCAACAAUGCCAAGUAAAGAAUUUACAAUAAUGCCAUCAUAUGUGGCCUUGCAUAUAUUUCCACACACGUGGGCCUUCCAUCUUCCAUUUAUUUUUCAUUUUUAUUUAUCUUUUUAUUGUAUAAAAUUAUUUCAAAUAUAUUAUAUUUAAGUAGUAAGAUGAUAAUUUAUUGUAAAAAUUAAUUAUUGAUAUAAUUAAAUAAAUUUUAUUUUUUAUUUAAUUUCAUAUCAAACAUAUAAUUUACUUUCUUUCUUAUUUGUUACUACAAUUUCACCUAGUUUAAUUUUUUUUCCUGAUAUAUAGAAGAGAAAAUUUCGAUACGUCUGCUUCAAUUUCUUCAAUCGUGAUUUUAUUAUUGCCUCUAAUUAAUUAUUAUAAGUCAUUUAUAUAUUAAAAAUUUAAUAAUAUUUAAUAAAAAAAGUAAAAUAGACAUUUAUGAUAUGUCUGCUUCAGCUGCUUUAAUCGCAAUUUUACUAAUUUUUUUUCCCUAUUUAGUUAUUAUAAGUCAUCUAAGUAUUUAAAGUAGUUCUCCGUCAACCUGUCAGCUUCAGCUGAUUCAAUAUUAAGGGUACUAAGGUCUUUAAAAUAAGUUCUAAGUUUUAUAAAUAUACCAUAUAUAGUAAAUAUCUACUUUACCAUAUAUAGUGAAUAUCUACUUUAUAAUAUAUUGCGUAUGUCUAUUUAUGGAAAAAUUACAAACCCCAAAGUUAGUUUUUCCCUAUAAGUAAAGGGGUUUUACUUCAUUGUAACCCCUUAAGAGAAAUAAGAAUUACUCUCUCUAUUCUCUCUACUCUUCUUCUUUAUUCUUUAUUAGUUUAUAACACGUUAUCAGCAUGAGACUCUACCAAACAAGGUGAGAUUAUAAAUCUGAAGGAUUUCAAGGUUAGUAGUUCUUUAUGUUAUCUUUCUUUUGCUACUACUAAUAUAAUUAUUAUUGGAUUUGAGGAAAAAUAAUUGGUUCGGAACCAUUUAUAUUUUAAAUUUAUUCCUCAAGAACAAUAUUUUCAAAAAGGAUGAUAAUAUGUUGGGUUCAAGUCCCAUUGAUUCAUACCUAAGACGUUUUUAUAUGGAUAGGAUAUUGAGUUUGAAUCUCAAUACACCAUAUUGAUGAUAUUAUGAUGGCUAAGGCAAAAUAAUGGGUGUUUAAUAAAAGGUCAUGAAACAUAUCCCGUUAAUAUGCUCUAUUCCAUGAAGUGAAUAUGGUAGCAUAAAUCUGAAAGUUGAUAACUUGCUUCAUCGUUGAAAGAAGACAAGUGAUUGAAUGCACGAAUAUAAGCGUGGAGAGACAAUAUGAUAAUAAUCAUCAAAAGUGGUAAUAUUUUCACACGCUUAUUAUGAUUAUAAGAUAUGCUAGAGAAAAGUUCUCUACAUCAUAUGUACGCCGCAAUUUGCUCCUGAAGUAGCAAUAUGAUAAAAUAGGUUAUAAGAUAUAUAAGCUAUCAUAAUUUGAUAGGCUUAAGACACGAUUAUAUUCCAUUCUUGGGGAAUAUGAGAAUUUUGAUUAUUAUAAACACAGAUCCAUUCCCUGGGGUGAAUGUGAUAAUAUUUAGUGAAGUUAUUAAUAUAAACGUGUACUUAAUUAUGAUGGUAUGACAACUCACCUCCGAAAGAGGCAGAAUAACUAAGAUGAGUUAUUUUGAAAUCUACUUCUGAAGUAGUAAAUCUGAAAUUUAUUCAUAUAAUAGUAAAUCUGAAAUUUACUAAAGCAAAAACAUAUAUCAUGGUAAACUUGGAGUUUACUAGAUUAAAAGUUCAUAAGUUGACAUGACCGAUUGCUCCCGAAGCUGUGCAUACUGAGUAUUGAACAUAUAUUGAAGAAUUAGAAAAUUCUUCAUGAACUUUAAUGUUGCUUGCUCUCAUGAUAAGUUGGUUGGACCAACUAAUUUUGAGAUUGAAUCCCUCAAAAUCUGAAAAGAAUAAAAGGUGAAUUAGGGCCCGUUCACCUAUCACAUGAUAUGUUGAAAAGAUGCAUCAAUAAGAUAAUCAUAUGUACAUUCAUGGUCAACCUACGUUUAACAUUCAUAAAGUUACUUAUUCAAUAUAAAUUGAGCAUAAUUUUCAGAUUGUGUAAUCAAGAUAAUUCAUCUUGAUGAUGAUGGUUUAACAUUGAAUGUCUUCUAUAAAUAGCUGAACCAUUACAAAUGAGAACAAAGUUUCAUUUAUUCAUAUGAAAUAUGAUAUAUUGCAUACAAUAACACUUGUAAGCAUUAGAUCAAUAUAUUAUGAUUAUUUCUUUCCUCUCAAUUGGUUCAAGGUCGGGAACCAACUAUUCCUCUAAUAGUUUUGAUGUGCGGUAUACGAUUAAUAAAUAUACCAUGAUGCACAAAGAAAGAUUCCUCAAAGAAGAUGGAGGAUGUAUGUUAGUGUUACUAACAUAAGGGGGAGAUUAUAAGCAUCUAUGAAAUAUGUUAGGAAUUAUCAUCAGAUCUUCAUUCAAAAGAUAAUUCAAGUCAAAUGUCGAAAGCAUCUCAUAUCUAGCUGCAAGUGCUCCUAUUUUGUGUCCUUAAAGGAUAAAGUCUAUGCAUGCGUGAAGCAUGAUAGACCAAUCGGUUCCAAAUGAAAUAAUCCUUGAAAAGGAUAAGGAGCAAAUAAUCAUGAUAAGAAGGCAAUGUGCUCUUGAAGAGCAUACAACAUAACACUUCAUGAAACCUUAUGAGAGGUUUAGGUACCUGAAAAUAAUGAAGUGAUGAGAUCUCAAAAUGUUAUGUCGCAUUGUGAAUCGAUACAAAAUAAGAAAUCGUUGACAAUAUCUUUGAUACAAUAUUGGCGCAAUAUUGUAAAAGAUUAUGAGGAUCUGAAUUCUACGUUAAUUUAAGCAUGCUGACCGAGAAAUAUUUAUCAAGUGACCUGAAAGGAUGCAUUUUGGUAAGCGUAAAACUUAUUUGAUUUGCAUUCCAUACACUUGAAGAUGUCACACUUGACAUGUUGAAUAUUGUUACUUGACAAACAUCCAUAUGAAAAUCCCUAAAGGAUUCAAAAUGCCUGAAGCAUAUAAAGUUUCUGGAAAACUUUUUAUUAUCCUCAUAAGAUAUAAUUUGAUGAUUUGAGUAUCAUUGAAACUCUUGGAGAGUUUUCAAAAGCAAUAGAGUGUUUGCUUAAAUGACAAACAUGCAAAAAUUGAAUAAGGAUCCAUUCUGACCUCAAGAAAAGAAUGAGGAACUCCUUGGUUAUGAAGUACUAUAUCUUAGUACAAUUGAUGCACUAAUAUAUCUUACAAAUACUACAAGGAGUGAUAUAGCCUUUUUUAGUUAAUUUGUUAGCAAGUUUGCAGUCCUGAUCUUAUUGGUCAUGCUGAUUUUGGGUACUUAUCUGACCUACAUAAAGUUCGAUCUCAAAUAGGCUAUGUGUUCAUAUGUGGUGGUACUGCAAUAUCUUGGAGAUAUACAAAGCAGUAUAUCGUAGCCACUCCAUCUAAUCAUGUUGACAUAAUAGCUAUUCAUGAAGCAAGCCGAGAAUGUGUAUGGUUGAGGUCCAUGAUACAUCUCAUUUGAGAAAAAUAUGGUGUGAAAUAUGACAAUCUACCCAUAAUUUUAUACGGAGAUAAUACAUCAAGCAUAGCACAUCUUAAUAGAGGGUUCAUAAAAGGAGAUAGAACGAAGCACACUUCAUCAAAACUUUUCUACAUACAUGAGCUACAAAAGAAUAGUGAUAUUAAUGUGCAACGGAUUCGUUCAAAUGUGGCUGAUUUAAUCAUCAAGUCUUCUCCAAUUACAACUUUUAAGAAGAUUGUGCACAAGAUUGGGAUGUAAAGAUUUAAGGAUGUUCUCAUUAGGGAGAGUUAAUACGUGCUGUACUCUUUUUUACUUACGAGGUUUUGUCCUACUGGAUUUUCCUUGUAAGGUUUUUAACGAGGCAGCCGAUAUGCCUAUUGUUAGAAAUGUGUACUCUUUUUCCUUCACUAGAUUUUUUUUUCUAGUAAAGUUUUAACGAGGCACAUUAUCUAUCAAUUAGACAUUCAAGGGGGAGUGUUAUAAAUAUACCAUAUAUAGUGAAUGUCUACUUUACCAUAUAUAGUGAAUACCUACUUUACCAUAUAUUGUAUAUGUCUAUUUAUAGAAAAGUUACAAACCCCAAGGUUAGUUUUCCCGUAUAAAUAAAGAGGUUUUGCUUCAUUGUAAUCUCUUAAGAGAAAUAAGAAUUACUCUCUCUAUUUUCUCUACUCUUCUUUUUAUUCUUUAUUAGUUUAUAACACUAAGCUUGAAUUGAUAGUAAUUUUUUGUUGUUUGUUUUUCGAACCUCAUCAAAAGUUUUAAUAAAAUCCUAUUCGUUUCUCUUUAAUUACCAACAAUGCCAAGUAAAGAAUUUACAAUAAUGCCAUCAUAUGUGGCCUUGCAUAUAUUUCCACAUACGUGGCCCUCCAUCUUUCAUUUAUUUUUUAUUUUUAUUUAUUUUUCAAAUAUAUUAUAUUUAAGUAAGUUGAUUAGUAAGAUGAUAAUUUAUUGUAAAAAUUAAUUAUUGAUACAAUUAAAUAAAUUUUAUUCUUUAUUUAAUUUCAUAUCGAACAUAUAAUUUACUUUCUUUCUUAUUUGUUACUGCAAUUUCACCUAAUUUAAUUUUUUUUCCUAAUAUAUAGAAGAGAAAAUUCUGAUAUGCCUGCUUUGUUAUCUGCUUCAAUUUCUUCAAUUGUGAUUUUAUUAUAUUAUCCCUAAUUAAUUAUUAUAAGUCAUUUAUAUAUUAAAAAAUAAUAAUAUUUAAUUUUUAAAAAUAGACAUUUAUGACAUGUCGAUUUCAGUUGCUUCAAUCAUAAUUUUAUUUUCUAUUAUAUCAUUUUUCAUUAAUUAUUAUAAAUUAUUUAUAUAUUAAAAAUUUAAUAAUAUUUAAUAAAAAAGUAAAACAGACAUUUAUGACAUGUCUACUUCAGUUGCUUUAAUUGCAAUUUUACUAAAUAUCUUUCCUAAUUAAUUAUUAUAAGUCAUCUAAGUAUUUAAAGUAGCUCUCCAUCGACCUGUCAUCUUCAGUUGUUUGCUCUGUGAUUUUACUAUAUCAUUCUUAAGUAAUUAUUAUAAAUUAUUUACAUAUUAAAAAAAUUAAUAAUAUCUAAUCAAUAGAAUAGACAUUUAUGACAUGUUUGCUUCAGCUAAUUUAAUCAUAAUUUUACUAAAUAUCACCUUUAAUUAAUUAUUAUAAGUCAUUUACGUAUUAAAUAAAUAAAUAAAUAAUAUUUUAAUUAAAAAUAUAAAAUAUCUAUAAAAUGAUAAGUUAACUCUUGAUAUUUUAAAUAACUUGACGUCUUAUAUUAGAUUUCACUUACUUUUUUUUUACAAGUAUCUUUUAUAGUAAUUUUAUUAUAUCACUUCUAAUUAGUUGUCGUGAGUUAUUUAAGACAUGUCUAUUUCGUUGCUUCAAUCGUGAUUACUAUAUCACCUCUAAUUAAUUAUUAUGGUCAUCUAAGCAUCAUGUCACUUAAAUUAUAGUAGAAAAAGUUUUACACAAUAAUUAAAAAUUUAAAUUAUUUAAAAAAUGUAAUUGACUAUUAGUGACACAAAACUCUGGACAAGGAGUGUAGCAUAUGUUUUUUAAAAAUUACAUAAAAAUAUUAUAAAUUACAAUAACUAAAAACUUGAAAUAUCAAAAAAUAAUUUAAUCUAUUAUAUAUAUUUAUAAAAUACUUAAAAAAAAUACUAUAAAUCACAAUAAUUAACAAUUUAAAAAAUUUAAAUGAUAUAAAUAUUUGAUUGACUCUCGAAAUUGUAUCAGUGUCACUUAAAUUGAAAUAGAAAAAAAAAUAUUAUAAAUCACAAUAAUUAAUAAUUUAAAUUAUUUUAAAAAUACAAUUGACUAUCAAUGACACAAAAGUUUGGAUAAAAGAGUAACAUAUAUUAUUUAAAAAUUUCACAAAAAAUAUUAUAGAUUACAAUAUUAACAACUUAAAAUAUCUAAAAACAUAUUAAAAGUAUGAUUGAUUAUCUAAAUUCAAUUUGUGUCAUAAAAAUUGAGACAAAAAAUAUAUAUUGAGCUCAUGCUAGAUCCCGAAUAAAUCUUAGGAUGGAUAUGCAGUCCAUCUUUUUUUUUUUAAAACUUUUGUUUAAAUAUAUCAAAAUGCAAGUUCUAAUACAGUACAUCAAACAGUGUAUAAAGAAUAAUGUUAGCAUAACUAAUACCAAUAUUACUAAUACAAGUAUUAUUAAUACAUUCUAUCAACAUUAUUUUUGUACACUCUAACAAACGACUCCAUGUUUUAAUGGAAGGAACAUAUACAAAAGUAAAGUUCAAUAAAAUAUCUACAUAAGUAUGUUUUAUCGUAUUCUCAAAGUCAAAUAAUUUAAAUUAAUAUGAAAGAUGGUAACUUAUAAUUUUCUUUUCUAUAUAAUUUUUGAAACACUUAAAAGUUGAAUUUAAAAUAUUAAUUUAGUUUAACUUCAAAGAACAAGUUGACAAAUAAAAGAGAAGGAGAAAGUGAAAGUAAAUGAUGUUUAUGGCGGCUUAGUAAGGGAAUAAUGUGGGUUAUUAAUUGCAAUCCACAUGUGAUGUAAUAUGCAAUAACUAGACAACCCUUUAUCUUUUUUUCAACAAUUAUUCUCUAUUUUAUGCAACAAAUGUCAAGUCUUAUGUAUCAAUUUUAAUCUCAAAUUUUCUACGCAAAUAUCAAUCAUAUAAUUAAAGAUAUAAACUUCUAAAUGCAUCAAAUUUUGUCGUUUAUAUGAGUAAGUUAUACAUAAUUAUCUUGUAAGACUUAACUCCUUCAAAAAUACUACCAAGUAGUUAAUAUAUUUUGUGUAUUCAUAUUUUAUAAUUCAUAAUUCAAAUUAAUAUCAAUUUAACUUACUAUACAUAGUAAAAAUAUCUUAACUUGGACCCAUGCUGAUACGGGCCAUGCUACUCUAGUAGUACGAGAUGUGGUCACCAAUUCAUAUGAAUAUUAAUUCAUUUCAUACACGAAGUGAAUUUUUUAAACAAAUGCUCCAGGUAAAUCACGUGGAUAACGAAGAAUAAUAAAGAGAAUAAAAUACUAAUAACGUUAUCUUAUCAUAAAUAGAUGUGGAAGAGAUACAAGUAUAGAAGUCUAACACAAAAAAAACAAACGAUAUAUAAGUCAUGGAGUAUAUAUAUAAGUAUCAAAUUUUGGAUCUAUUAUGUACUAAAAUUUUAUUAUAUAUUUAAAUACAAAUGAUCGUAUCAAAUUUUGCAUCUAUUAUGUACUUAAUUUUUUUUUUCUUGGUUUCUCAAGGUAUCCCCAUAACCGGCAGCCGUGAGACUAAUCCUCCGUUCUCCUCCGUUCCUACUGUUAGCGCAUUAAGCGGUAGGAAACUGGCCAAAUAGUUUUUUUCAUUCACCAGAGGUAGGGAUCGAACCCCCAACUUCUUGUUUAAGGGGUGAGGUGUUGAACCACCACACCAACCCUUGUGGUUUAAAUUUUAUUAUACAUUGAAAUGUAAAUUUAUAUUUUUGUACAAAUAUAUUAAAUGGAUAAAAUUAAUUAAGAAUUAAUAAAAUUGAAGAUGAAAGAAUUCAUGAAUACACAUUAUAGUAGGAGGUGAAAAGUUGAUGAGUUGAAUAAAUAAUUUUUGAAUUAUGAAAACUAAAAUAAAUAGAUAAAUAAAGAAGAAAUGAUCAAAAAAGGAGAAAAAGAUAAAUAAAAAUGGUGGCUUUAGAAGUGUGCUACAUCAUCAAAUGUCUAACCCUACUUUAUAUAUACGGAGAGAUUAGAAAAUGACACAAAAAUAAUAUACGGUGAAAUAUCAAUGUCUCUUUCAAAAGAUUCAAGCUUAAAACAUUUAUAAAAUAGAUAAAUAAAUAAACUAUUUAUACAACGAAUCUCUAAAUUUAAUGUCUACAAGUUCAACGUUGAAAGAUUUGGCAUGGAGUUGAUUAUCUCCGUUAUAUAAGAUCAUGAUGAAGCCCCAAAAAAGCUUAGAUCUAUAUUAUUAUAUAUAAUAUAUAUCUAGAGAUGGAUUAAGUAGGGGUGGUAAAGCGAAAUAUGACACCCUCCUGAUUUUGUAAAGCCAACCGCACCCACCCACUGAUGUUAAAAUAAGAGCAGAUCAAUUUUACCAGCAAAAUAAAUUUGAACUACAAAGAUAAAUGGAAACUUAAGGAUAAUUAGAUUCGAGAGAAAACUUAAGUUUGAUAAUAACUUAACUUAAAAUAGCUUAUAUUCAAGACAAAUUUUAUUCAUCGAUAUAACAUCAAUGGCCAUGAAAACUAAAAUAAAUAGAUAAAUAAAGAAGAAAUGAUCAAAAAAGGAGAAAAAGAUAAAUAAAAAUGGUGGCUUUAGAAGUGUGCUACAUCAUCAAAUGUCUAACCCUACUUUAUAUAUACGGAGAGAUUAGAAAAUGACACAAAAAUAAUAUACGGUGAAAUAUCAAUGUCUCUUUCAAAAGAUUCAAGCUUAAAACAUUUAUAAAAUAGAUAAAUAAAUAAACUAUUUAUACAACGAAUCUCUAAAUUUAAUGUCUACAAGUUCAACGUUGAAAGAUUUGGCAUGGAGUUGAUUAUCUCCGUUAUAUAAGAUCAUGAUGAAGCCCCAAAAAAGCUUAGAUCUAUAUUAUUAUAUAUAAUAUAUAUCUAGAGAUGGAUUAAGUAGGGGUGGUAAAGCGAAAUAUGACACCCUCCUGAUUUUGUAAAGCCAACCGCACCCACCCACUGAUGUUAAAAUAAGAGCAGAUCAAUUUUACCAGCAAAAUAAAUUUGAACUACAAAGAUAAAUGGAAACUUAAGGAUAAUUAGAUUCGAGAGAAAACUUAAGUUUGAUAAUAACUUAACUUAAAAUAGCUUAUAUUCAAGACAAAUUUUAUUCAUCGAUAUAACAUCAAUGGCCAAUCGCCAUGAAACUAGCUAACAUGACCAAUCAACUGACCAAAUGUUACGGAAGUCUUAUUAGAAGCAAUGUGUGAAUUGAUCCCCUUCAACAUUUCCCUUUCAUAGGGAAAAAUAUAUCUAUAUCUAUAUAUAUAGAUAUAUAGAUAUAGAUAUAUUUUUCCCUAUGAAAGGGAAAUGUUGAAGGGGAUCAAUUCACACAUUGAUUGAAAGAAGCUAUUUGCAAUUGCCGCCGAGUCUCACGGCAAAUGCCUGUAAAGCCAAAAGAAUUUCUUUGAGCCUCUUCUUGGUUUCUUCAUCUAUCAGAUUGCCCUUAUCAUCAAACAUUGGUGGUAGGUCUAAUACAUUGAGGAAAAAUUAAGGUUUGUUAAUGAAAUGAAUAUCGAAUCUGACUCCCAUAUGUCGAAGGUGAUAUUGUGAUCGUCCUCCACCAAAAUCAUAUUCAGUACUCACGAUUGCUGCUGCUUUAUCACCCC